rnacentral:rRNA from 1 species
UACGAAGGGGGCUAGCGUUGCUCGGAAUCACUGGGCUUAAAGCGCGUGUAGGUGGGUCGUCAAGUGUCCGCGUGAAAUCCCACGGCUCAACCGUGGAACUGCCGGGCAUACUGGCGAUCUUGAGGCAUUCAGGGGCGAGCGGAACAAAUGGUGGAGCGGUGAAAUGCGUAGAUAUCAUUUGGAACGCCAAUGGUGAAAACAGCUCGCUGGGAAUGAUCUGACACUGAGACGCGAAAGCGUGGGGAGCGAACAGG